rnacentral:rRNA from 1 species
UGGGGAAUAUUGGACAAUGGAGGGAACUCUGAUCCAGCAAUUCUGUGUGUGUGAAGAAGGUUUUAGGACUGUAAAACACUUUUAGUAGGGAAGAAAAAAAUGACGGUACCUACAGAAGAAGCAACGGCUAAAUACGUGCCAGCAGCCGCGGUAAUACGUAUGUUGCGAGCGUUAUCCGGAAUUAUUGGGCUUAAAGGGCAUCUAGGCGGUAAGACAAGUUGAAGGUGAAAACCUGUGGCUCAACCAUAGGCUUGCCUACAAAACUGUUGAACUAGAGUAAUGGAAAGGUGGGUGGAACUACACGAGUAGAGGUGAAAUUCGUAGAUAUGUGUAGGAAUGCCGAUGAUGAAGAUAGCUCACUGGACAGAAACUGACGCUGAAGUGCGAAAGCUAGGGGAGCAAACAGG